ensembl:lncRNA
AGUCAAUCAGCGGAAACGGUGUAAAGUUGGAGCCAAAUUCAUCUGACAGGUUUGGAAAAGGUACAUGUCAUGUUUCCCACAAUGAACAUGAUGCCAACCAUGCCACCGCAGACUGUUUGCGCUUGCUUUAAUUGCACUGUAAACCAAGCUUUGAUUGCAAGCAGGCAAGCUUGCAUGCUACAUAAUUAUCCCUCCUUCCAUGUGGUUCCCACGCCUGCUGUGGCACCCCCACAACCCAGGACGGGACAACCUAGAACGACCAACGAAGAUGUGACCAGUACCGAUAGGACUCUUAGUCUGCAAAAGUCUGUCUACUGGUUGGUGUAUGAAAACAUAUACCUUGCUCUAACUGAUUCUAAACUUCUUGGCUGGUACCUGGGCCUCUCUCCUGAGGAUCGAAAGCUUAUUCAAGAUGAAGGAGGGUUUCAUCGGUUCUUAAAACGACACCCUGCCUUGGAACUAUCAAAGCACCACAUUUAUGUGAAAAAAGCGAUUCCUGAAGAAUCAAGAGAGCAGUUUCCUCUUUGCAGCACUACCAGAGGUUUCAACCAACAUUCAAGCUACAACCAACCUGUUUUGCAAAGAGUAGACCCUAAAGUACAAGAGCUCAGUAAACUGACAUGGCCGAUGGCGAACUCUAGUGGUGGGUAUAAUGCACUUACAAACCCAGUCAACUUUGCCAAUUUGUCUUUGGAUGUGGAACUGGAAAGACAAACGCAAGCAGACAAUCCGCAAAGUACUUUGAUUGGAUCUGAGCAACACCGCAGUAGACACGAUGCCUUGUUGCGAGAAUCGAGACAUGAAGCCAGUUUGAAAGAUGAGUCUUUCUACAGCAUCCUGGAGGCAGAUAACAGCAUUGUGUUUUGCGUCCCAAAAGAGAGUCCAGAUACUUCUGGGAUUCACUCGGAAAAUAGUGUGUCAAAUAAGGAACCAUCUGUCUUUGAGUCCAUGAUCAGGACCACUGAAGACAGGUCGACCUCCCCCAUACCCCAUGUCUGCACCUGUGAUGCUCUGGUUGGCACUGAGCAAACGAUGACAAUGUCAGCAAUGACCCAAACUGAAUCACCACCUACAAUAGAUAAGCAUAUGAAUACAGAAGUUUACAUGUUAGACCUGGACUACGUUACUCAGGAGUUCAUUACAAUCAAGACUGAGAGAGAUAAACUACUUGAAAAGGUGAAGAUGCAAAGAACCACUUCACCGUUUGCAAAGAUGGUGAAUGACCUUAAAAAACUGGAGAUGGACUAUUCCAAGAUGAGGGAGAAAAUCCUGUCGGGGAUUUCUCUUCAGGACCUCAAAUCACUGUCUUUUGACUUGGAGGAAGCAUCUAAAGAUCCAGCUGUGGCAAAGAUAACUGGUGAUACUCAAAAAGCUUCACUUUGCUCUCAGCAGCAAGGAACCUCUGCGAAUGAUGAGCCUGCUGCUAUCAGUGACAACUCCUUACUGGAGAGUCAGACAUUGAGAGAUGCCAAUGGAAAAGAUCCCAGUGAAAUAAAGCGGGCUGUUACCCGCAUCCCUAAGGAGAGAUGCCUAACCCAAAAACAGAAGGAAAACCCUCAGGUAACUUAUGACUAA